rnacentral:rRNA from 1 species
UACGUAGGGGGCAAGCGUUGUCCGGAGUUACUGGGCGUAAAGCGUGCGCAGGCGGUUCGUUGUGUCGGUGGUGAAAUCCCCGGGCUCAACCUGGGAACUGCAUUGUGACUGCAUCGCUGGAGUGCGGCAGAGGGGGAUGGAAUUCCGCGUGUAGCAGUGAAAUGCGUAGAUAUGCGGAGGAACACCGAUGGCGAAGGCAAUCCCCUGGGCCUGCACUGGCGCUCAUGCACGAAAGCGUGGGGAGCAAACAGG